UACGGAGGGGACUAGCGUUGUUCGGAAUUACUGGGCGUAAAGCGCACGUAGGCGGAUUGUUAAGUCAGGGGUGAAAUCCCGAGGCUCAACCUCGGAACUGCCUUUGAUACUGGCAAUCUCGAGUCCGGAAGAGGUGAGUGGAAUUCCUGGUGUAGCGGUGGAAUGCGCAGAUAUCAGGAGGAACACCGAUGGCGAAGGCAGCUCGCUGGGACGGUACUGACGCUGAGGCGCGAAAGCGUGGGGAGCAAACAGG
rnacentral:rRNA from 1 species